AUACGUAGGUGGCAAGCGUUGUCCGGAAUUAUUGGGCGUAAAACGCGCGCAGGCGGUCCUUUAAGUCUGAUGUGAAAUCUCGCGGCUCAACCGUGAGCGGUCAUUGGAAACUGGGGGACUUGAGUGCAGAAGAGGAGAGUGGAAUUCCACGUGUAGCGGUGAAAUGCGUAGAGAUGUGGAGGAACACCAGUGGCGAAGGCGACUCUCUGGUCUGUAACUGACGCUGAGGCGCGAAAGCGUGGGGAGCGAACAGGAUUAGAUACCCUGGUAGUCCACGCCGUAAACGAUGAGUGCUAAGUGUUAGAGGGUUUCCGCCCUUUAGUGCUGCAGUUAACGCAUUAAGCACUCCGCCUGGGGAGUACGGUCGCAAGACUGAA
rnacentral:rRNA from 1 species